rnacentral:lncRNA from 10 species
GGCGUUGCCAGCUCCUCCCUCCUGCAUGGUCGGCUGGGUUCCACCAGCUCCGCUAGUGUUAACAGGAGGAAGUGUCCCCCUGGUCUGCAUCUCCCUGGUGAUCUGGUUCUCAUCCGAAUGCAGACAGCGGAAAGGGAGGGUUUUCCACAAGGAGGUCGGCAAGUAUUUCUAGAAAGAAAAGAGCUUCUCUUCUAAUUAGAGCACCAAAGACUACGCUACAGUCAGAUUUUACUUCACUUUGAAAAAUCUACCCGUCUUGGUACAUACGCAGCUGCUUCGUUAGUUGUGACUCUGCACAGCAUGAAGUUUAUACCCACCUGCUCCGAUGACAGACAGGCAGGUUGCUUCAACUCUGUUACCGCAUAUCACUACAAUGAUUAGUCUCAUUUAAUCCACUAGAAUGAUAAACUGAAAUGUCACUGAGGGAUAUUCCUAGAAGUGGGAUUGCUGGGUAUUAGACAAAAAGCUAUGCAAAAAUAAAAACUCAAUGCCUGCAGAGCAAAAUCUAAGAACUAUAUUUUUUAAGAAUAAAAUCCUACUUUUAUUCCAUGUAGAAAUUCAUACAUAUAAUAUUUUUGUCGUGACAAAUCGAAACAGAGGAAGGACAUGUAACUCACGUUGGUCUGAGGAAACCUCCCAAGGGAAGAUUAUUCUUGAGGUAUAUCUAAAAUUUGAGUAAACUUGUGGUGAAGAAGAAGGGAAGUUAUUUUGAGCAGAGGGAAAAUUUAAGUUUAACAAGUUAUUUACUGUUAAUUAACAUUUCUUUUACUUUAAUGAUCUAGGAAAAUUUUCUGCAAUAUGAUAAUAUUUUGUGGGGCUAUCUUCUUCAAAGUUUCAAAGUAAAGUAGAAAAACUUGUUUUAUAGAAUCUGAUGGCAGAUUAUUCUGCAUGUGGGGAAGAUCAGUGAAUUUCCCAGUAAUUCUGUCCCCAGAAAAACCCCAGAACCCCAACUAUGCCUGUCCUGCCAAUUGACACUCUUAGCUUGUCAUCAUGUCUUUCUUCCUAGCAUUAGUACAGUUUCAAGUAUCUUUUGUUUUGUAUGAAGCAGGGUUCAGUCUCUGCAGUAGAAGUGUAAUUUUUGCC